rnacentral:lncRNA from 1 species
CUCCCAUUCACCCCCCAGUAACCCCCCAUUAACCCCCUAUCUCCCCAUUAGGCCGCCGGUAGGCAUGGAGAAAGAUCGAGGCGAGGACCUUGGCGGCGGUGGCGUCAGCAUCAGCAGCACCGGCGGCGUCACCGGCACCGGUGUCGGCGGCCGCGAGGCCAAACCGCGCUCGCUGCGCUUCACGUGGAGCAUGAAGACGACGAGCGCCCUGGAACCGGGCGAGAUGAUGCGGGAGAUCCGCAAGGUGCUGGACGCCAACAGCUGCCGCUGCGAGCUGCAGGAACGCUUCGUCCUCCUGUGCGCCCACGGCUCCCCCGGCCACGAAUCCUUCGUGCAGUGGGAGAUGGAGGUGUGCAAGCUGCCGCGCCUCUCGCUCAACGGCGUCCGCUUCAAGCGCAUCGCCGGCACCUCCAUGGCCUUCAAGAACAUUGCCUCCAAGGUGGCCAACGAGCUCAAGCUCUGAGCGCGAACCCCCCCCCGUGUCCCCCCCCUCCAUGUUCACCUCCAGGGGGGGCUUCUCCUCAAAACGGGGGGUGUGGACCCAGCAACUAUUGGACUCCCCCCACCCCAGUCCCUCCGGUCCCCGUUGUGCUCCCUGCGGGGUUGGUACUGGGAUGGGACCUGGUGUAGGUGCCCCCCCUGCCCCCCCAGGACCCUGUGGGGUCGGUGUUGGGAUGGGACCUGUUUAGGGGUGCCCCCCCCGCACCCCCUCGCUCCUCAGGACCUGUGGGGGCAGCCCUAAAGGAGCUGGGGGGGCCCCUAAAGGAGUUGGGGACGGCCCUAAAGGACCCUGUGGGGUCGGUGUUGGGAUGGGACCUGGUGUAUGGGUGCCCCCCCUGCCCCCCCAGGACCCUGUGGGGUCAGUGUUGGGAUGGGACCUGUUGUAGGUGCCCCCCCUCUGCACCCCCUCGCUCCUCAGGACCUGUGGGGUCGCGGGACAGGAUGUGGAGACGGCCCUAAAGGAGUUGGGGGGGGCACCCCAAAUUUGUGGGGUCGACUCCAGAGCUGUGGGGACAAAGUGGGGCCUGCAGGGAGUUGGGAACGGCCCCAACACCCCAAAAUCUCUGGGGCCGGGGGGCUGGCCCCAAAAGCUGCAGGGUUAAGCCAGGACCCCCCAGGGACCUGGGGACGGCCCCAAAACCUCUGUCCCCAAGCCCUUUGGGGUCAGGCUGGGACCUGUGGGGUCAUCCCAGAGCCUUAUGGGGACGCCCGGGGUGUCCCCAGGGGAUGUCCCGGGGGUCCCCAGGUCCCCAAGGGACACGGGGUGGCCUUGGGGUCCCUAUGGGGAC